AAUGGGCGGAAGCCUGAACCAGCCAUGCCGCGUGCGGGAAGAAGGCGCUACGCGUCGUAAACCGCUUUUGUCCGGGGGUAACCGUGGGGACGUGUCCCCACCUGCAAGUACCGGACGAAUAAGGGUCGGCUAACUCCGUGCCAGCAGCCGCGGUAAUACGGAGGACCCGAGCGUUAUCCGGAUUCAUUGGGUUUAAAGGGUGCGUAGGCGGCCCGGUCAGUCAGCGGUGAAAGGCCCCUGCUUCACGGGGGAGCCGCCGUUGAUACUGCCGGGCUGGAGUCUUAGCGAGGCGGGCGGAAUGCGCGGUGUAGCGGUGAAAUGCAUAGAUAUCGCGCAGAACGCCGAUUGGGAAGCCAGCUCGCCAGCUGAGAACUGACGCUGAGGCACGAAAGCGUGGGGAUCGAA
rnacentral:rRNA from 1 species